rnacentral:lncRNA from 10 species
AAACAAACGAGUAAGAAAUAUAGCAAAACAGCUGGGGAUAAGGGCAAUAAAAAUAUCACAGCAGGGGAAGGGCUUUGGGAGUGUCAAGCAGGCUUCAGUUUAAGAUGAGUGCUCAGCAAAAGCCUGAAAGCAAUGGCCUGAAGGAGAGAAAGGAUUGAACCAUCUGGAGACGGAGUUCACAGGAGAGCUGGCUAUUUAAAGGAGGCUGGCACCUCUUCCUCCCUCUCUUGCUCACUCUCUCGCCCUGUGACAUGCUGGCUUCCCUUCCCUCCUGCCAUGACUAAAAGCUUCUUGACGCCUCAUCAGAAACCAAGCAGAUGUGGGCUCCAUGCUUCUUGUACAGUCUGCAGAACUAUAAUGGCGUGUCUGAAAUGGCUGAAGACAACUCCGAUUCUGUCCUUUGGGGACUGGAAGACCAUUCUGGGGUUGGGGGUGGGUACAGGCUCUGUGGACACAGUCACAAGCCACAGCCCCCUUGCUGCUAGCCUGUGUCCCUUGCCCUCUUGCAGCAAGAGCCAGCCAGUCCUCCAAGCUCUGUGACAACACUGCACAAGGCAUGGACCCAGAGGAAGCCCCUCCAAGCAGAGCCAGCUGCCCACCGAUGAUGGCCACUGAGUGCCAACCAGACGCCACACUGUCCUACUGCCAGAGGGGGAACCUAGAGAGAAACAUUCACUUUCAUUUUAUCUCAUCUUCUUGUGUCAACUCCUCAGAGCGCUAUCCCUGACCCCCUAUAUAACACAGCAUCCCGUGUCACUGUCAAACCCCUGAUCCCUGUUUAUUUUUCUUCUUAGCAUUUAUCACUCCCUCAUAUCAUGGUGUCUCUCUCUCCCUCUCUCCUUAAUGAUAGGCAGGGACAUGAACCAUCUGUUCACCUUGAUUCUCCAGCACCCAGAACACUACCUGGCACCAAAACAUGCUCAAUAAAUAUAUGUUAGUUGAACGUCUGCCUGUUCUUACAGUACGAUGGGUUGCUUCUGGUCAUGGACUCCCUGGAAUUCCUGCCCAGCUUCUCAUACAUCAAGCACAGUUCUACAAGCAGAGAACACCCUGGGGAGUAAGUCACAGGUACUGUGGUAAGAAACUGGCAGUGUGGAAGUCCUAGCCAGAGCAAUCUGACAGGAGAAAAAAAUAAAAGACACCCAAAUUGGAAAAGAGGAAGUCAAAUUAUCUCUGCCAAUGAUAUGAUCAUAUACCUAGAAAGCCCUAAAGACUCUUCAGAAAGACUCCUAGAUCUGAUAAAUGAAUUCAGUAAAGUCUCAGGUUACAAAAUCAAUGUACACAAAUUAGUAGCACUGCUAUACACCAACAAUGAUCAAACUGAGAGUCAAAAAACUCAAUUCCUUUUACAAUAGCUACAAAAAAAAAAAAAAAACCUUGGCAAAUAAUUAACCAAGGAGAUCAAAGAUCUCUACAAAGAGAACUACAAAACACUGCUGAAAGAAGUCAAAGAUGGCACAAACAAAUGAAAAUACAUCCCAUGCUUAUGGAUGGAAGAAUUAAUAUUGUGAAAACAACAGUAAUACCCAAAGCAAUCUACAGAUUCAGUGCAAUUGCUAUCAAAAGACCAAUAUCAUUUUUCACAGAAUUAGUAAAAACAAUCCUAAAAUUCAUAUAGAACUGAAAAAGAGCCCAAAUAGCUAAAGCAAUCUAAAUGAAAAAGAACAAAUCUGGAGGCAUCACAUUACCUGACUUCAAAGAAUACCACAAGGCUAUGGUAAUCAAAACAACAUGGCACUGGUAUAAAAUAGAUACAUAGACCAAUGGAAUGGAAUAGAGAACCCAUAAAUAAAGCCAAAUACUUACAAACAACUGAUCUUCAACAAAGCAUACAAGAACAUACAGUGAGGAAAGGACACCCUAUUCAGUAAAUGGUGCUGAGAAAGGUGGAUAGCCCCAUGUAGAAGAAUAAAACUGGAUCCCUACCUCUUAUCAUAUACAAAAAUUAACUCAAGAUGGAUUAAAGACUUAAAACCUGAAACCAUAAAAUUCUAGAUGGAAACCUAGGAAAAACUCUUCUAGACGUUGGCCCAGGCAAAGAAUUUAUGAUGAAAACCCCAAAAGCAAAUGCAACAAGAGCAAAAAUAAAUAAAUGGGACCUGAUUAAACUAAAAAGCUUCAGCACAGCAAAAUAAAUAAUCAUCAGAGUAAGCAGACAACCUACAGAAUGGGAGGAAAUAUUUGCAGUCUAUGCAUCUGACUAAGGACUAAUACCCAGAAUCUACAAGGAACUGAAACAAAUCACAAAGAAAAAACAAAUAAUCCCAUUAAAAAGUGGGCAAAUGACAUGCAUAGACAUUAUACUGCUCAACAUCACUAGUCAUCAAGGAAAUGCAGAUUAAAACCCCAAUGAGAUACCCCCUACCCAAGCCAGAAUGUCCAUUAUUAAAAAGUCAAAAAACAA